GUCAUGUGAGAGCUGUAGUCAUGUGAGAGCUGUAGUCAUGUGAGAGCUGUAGUCAUGUGAGAGCUGAAGUCAUGUGAGAGCUGUAAUCAUGUGAGAGCUGUAGUCAUGUGAGAGCUGUAGUCAUGUGAGAGCUGUAUGUAAACUACCUGCGCAUGCGCGUGACAUGCGACUCACAUCACUAGGACGUGGAGUCACAGAAUAUGAAUAUGCUAACUAAAGGGACGGCUGAUUGAGAAGACGGGAAGAAACAGGGGUGGCCAGCCGGCGGGGCCACGCCUCCUGCGUACAACUACCUGAAUUCAGAAGGGGAACUUCACCAGCCAAUAUUUUGGGAACAACAGCGCCGAUUAUAAUCCUUUGGCCAGUCUAGUUAUCCGCUGAUAUACAUCGCCUUCACAGGUAUGUCCUUCACGUGCCUCGGAAGUCCUCCUCAUGACUAAUAGUGAUUAGUCACACUCAAGUGGCUGAUAUAAAUUGCUGAAGGUCAGUGAUAAAUCCCCGCGCUUAAAUCUUUAUGAUGUCUGGACUGACAUUCAAGAGUAAUUUAAAAGACAAAAGGGGAUCGGCAUCGGGAGCUAGCUACAGAACAAGUGGCCAUAAAUACUGGCUUAGUGAAGCCUACAGAUGUAGCCAUCAUUCUUCAGCGCCUGGAGAUGUUCUUGAAGGCCUGUCAUAAUUAUUAAGGGAGAGCUGGAGAUUGGUACAAUCAGAGUACCUCAAGCUGUGGUGAUCAAGGUGGUGAUCAAGAACGCGCAUGCGUUCGAAACGCGUCCAUAGGAGUUGUUUGCUGACCAGGUGAAGGUGGAUGGUGUGUGCUCUGUAUUUUUAAAGAAAAGUGAA